rnacentral:lncRNA from 1 species
AUGGAGAAACCACAUCACAGUGUAUGUGGAUACUUCAGACCCGGCUGUGUCAUCUUCUGUUCCGAAAGAAGUAUACCGUGCAAUAGUUGGAAGUAUACAUCCAGCAUCACUCUCUCAUGUUAGCUUCUCUCACCACAACACUCUAUGUGUCAUAUUAAACACAAGGCUCGUCAAGCCAGGGGGAGAACAAAAAGAACUGUCGACU